GAUGAACGCUGGCGGCGUGCCUAACACAUGCAAGUCGAGCGAUUCACUUCGGUGAAGAGCGGCGGACGGGUGAGUAACGCGUGGGUAACCUGCCUCACACACAUGGAUAACAUACCGAAAGGUAUGCUAAUACAGGAUAAUAUAAGAGAUUCACAUGUAUUUCUUAUCAAAGCUCCGGCGGUAUGAGAUGGACCCGCGUCUGAUUAGCUAGUUGGUAAGGUAACGGCUUACCAAGGCGACGAUCAGUAGCCGACCUGAGAGGGUGAUCGGCCACAUUGGGACUGAGACACGGCCCAG
rnacentral:rRNA from 1 species